rnacentral:rRNA from 1 species
CGAACGGGUGAGUAAUGCAUCGGAACGUGCCCAGUCGUGGGGGAUAACGCAGCGAAAGCUGUGCUAAUACCGCAUACGAUCUAUGGAUGAAAGCGGGGGAUCGCAAGACCUCGCGCGAUUGGAGCGGCCGAUGUCAGAUUAGCUAGUUGGUGGGGUAAAGGCCCACCAAGGCGACGAUCUGUAGCUGGUCUGAGAGGACGACCAGCCACACUGGGACUGAGACACGGCCCAGACUCCUACGGGAGGCAGCAGUGGGGAAUUUUGGACAAUGGGCGCAAGCCUGAUCCAGCAAUGCCGCGUGCAGGAAGAAGGCCUUCGGGUUGUAAACUGCUUUUGUACGGAACGAAAAGGUCUGGGUUAAUACCCUGGGCUCAUGACGGUACCGUAAGAAUAAGCACCGGCUAACUACGUGCCAGCAGCCGCGG